rnacentral:rRNA from 1 species
UGGAGUUACUAGUAAUCGCAGAUCAGAAUGCUGCGGUGAAUGCGUUCCCGGGUCUUGUACACACCGCCCGUCACACCAUGGGAGUUGGGGGCGCCCGAAGCCGGUUAGCUAACCUUUUAGGAAGCGGUCGUCGAAGGUGAAACCAAUGACUGGGGUGAAGUCGUAACAAGGUAGCCGUAUCGGAAGGUGCGGCUGGAUCACCUCCUUUCUAAGGA